GAUGAACGCUGGCGGCGUGCCUAAUACAUGCAAGUCGAGCGAAGCGGAGACGGGUGAGUAACACGUGGAUAACCUCCUAUAAGACUGGGAUAACAUCGGGAACCCGGAGCUGAACCGGAUUCUUAUCGCUGGAUCCGCGCUGUAUUAGCUAGUUGGUAAGGUAACGGCUUACCAGGGCAACGAUGCAUAGCCGGCCUAAGAGGGUGAUCGGCCAUACUGGAACUGAGACAGGUUCCAGACUCCUAAGGGAGGCAGCAGUUGGGAAUAUUCCGCAAUGGUCGAAAGCCUGACGGAGAGACGACGCGUGAGUUAUGAAUGGCUUCGGAUCGUAAAACUCUGUUAGUAGGGAAGCGGGACUUUAUCAGAAUGCCUCGGCUAACUACGUGCCAGCAGCCGCGGUAAUAC
rnacentral:rRNA from 1 species